UACGAAGGGUGCAAACGUUGCUCGGAAUUAUUGGGCGUAAAGCGCACGUAGGCGGCUUGGCAAGUCGGAUGUGAAAUCCCUCGGCUCAACCAAGGAAGUGCGUCCGAAACUGCUAAGCUUGAGUACUUAAGAGGAUCGCGGAAUUCCCGGUGUAGAGGUGAAAUUCGUAGAUAUCGGGAGGAACACCAGUGGCGAAGGCGGCGAUCUGGGAAGAUACUGACGCUGAGGUGCGAAAGCGUGGGGAGCAAACAGG
rnacentral:rRNA from 1 species